GAUGAACGCUAGCGGCAGGCCUAAUACAUGCAAGUCGAACGGAUAUAUGUUUUUCGGAAUAUAUAUUAGUGGCGCACGGGUGAGUAACACGUACAUAACUUGCCCUCAAGCGGGGGGUAGCCUUGGGAAACUGAGAGUAAUACCCCAUAGAAUUAUUGGACGGCAUCGUUUGAUAAUUAAAACUACGGUGUUUGGGGAUAGAUGUGCGUCUGAUUAGCUAGUUGGUGAGGUAACUGCUCACCAAGGCGACGAUCAGUAGGGGGCGUGAGAGCGUGGCCCCCCACACGGGUACUGAGACACGGACCCGACUCCUACGGGAGGCAGCAGUAAGGAAUAUUGGUCAAUGGAGGGAACUCUGAACCAGCCAUGCCGCGUGAAGGAUGACGGCCCUCUGGGUUGUAAACUUCUUUUGGAUGGGGCGAAAAAACGGGAUUUAUCCUGGACUGACGGUACCAUCAGAAUAAGCACCGGCUAACUCCGUG
rnacentral:rRNA from 1 species